UAAUAAGGACUUCUCCGAGUUUGUGAUCCUGAGGCGAAUGAGACUAGAGUCGCUAUGGAAGCAAACCUAUAGGGUUUAUCUGGAAACGGAUGGGCCUCCCGGUGGAAAGGAGAGUUGGGUGAGAACUA
rnacentral:ncRNA from 2 species